GAUGAACGCUGGCGGCGUGCCUAAUACAUGCAAGUCGAGCGAACAGACGAGGAGCUUGCUCCUCUGACGUUAGCGGCGGACGGGUGAGUAACACGUGGAUAACCUACCUAUAAGACUGGGAUAACUUCGGGAAACCGGAGCUAAUACCGGAUAAUAUAUUGAACCGCAUGGUUCAAUAGUGAAAGACGGUUUUGCUGUCACUUAUAGAUGGAUCCGCGCCGCAUUAGCUAGUUGGUAAGGUAACGGCUUACCAAGGCAACGAUGCGUAGCCGACCUGAGAGGAGGAGCGGCCACACUGGAACUGAGACACGGUCCAGACUACUACGGGAGGCAGCAGUGGGGAAUAGUGAAAAAUGGGCGCAAGCCUGAACGAGCAAUACCGCGGGAGUGAAGAAGGUUUUCGGAUCUUAAAACCCUGUUAUUAGGAAAGAACAGAAGUGUGAGAAUAAACGCCUGUCUUGACGGUACCUAAUAAGAAAGCAACGGCUAACUUCGUG
rnacentral:rRNA from 1 species